CGACAACCAACUAUUGAUUUUGUGAUUUUGUUGGUUGUUUUAAAUUAUGUAUCAUACAUUUUAAGAAUUCUUCUUUGGAUAAAGUUUUGAAGUGAAAAUGAAUGCUUAAAUAUUUAGGAGCACAACAUGGUUGGCCUUGAGAUAGUUAGGGACUGUCAUCUGGACUUGCCAUAGGUUGUGGGUUCGAUUCCCACCGGGAGCCUUGGGUGUUAUUGUGUUUGUUCGACUUUAACGACUGGAAAAAAUUGCCUAAUUUACUCGUUGAUAUAUGCAAAAACCUGGGGAGCCGUCUAAGUAAAGACGCGAGCACAUUGUAUUAAAGAGACAAAAACGCCAGAUAGUUGUGAACUUAGAAGAACUAACUGAUUUGAACGCUUUUAAAUCUCAUCCAAAACAAUCAGCUACUGCAAAUGUGAUGGCAAUGCCACAGUCAAAAUCAACUGAAAUGCAGCAUAUGAAACCGAGAUAGUGACAGAAACUUUGCUUUUUGAUUGAAAUUUUUAGAAUAGAAACAUUGUCUUAAAUAUACAACUUUGAUCAAUUACGGUCCAAUGGCGAACGAGGCGACGUAGUUAGACUUCUCAGACAUAUUACAAGAAUGCAAAACACAGUGCUUAGACAAAUGAAUAACGAGGCAGUC